AAACUUAGCCCCAGCAAAAACGACUUCACCCUUUUUAAAAAGGAUAUUACCCUCCUCGCUCAAGACCUUAGCUUGAUUUAGGAUAUUUUAGGGGCAAUUAUUAGUAGCAAAGUUCACAAUGCUUUCAUCAUAAUUGUCAUUCAAGUGUGUGCGAAAGGGCGUUAUUCAAUUUAUGGCAAUCCAUAACAAACUACUAAAGAUAAAAGGGAUUGACUACAAACUACACUAAAGAGGAACUCACGAGCAACACCAAGAAGUAAAUGGACUAAAUAGACCAGAUUUGAGGGAAACCCAAUUAAAAGCACUUAAAUAGAAGCUGAACAAAGGACGUUAUCGGUCGGAGAACUAAACCCCACCCGCAUCAAGAGAGAAGGGGGUCAAUCCAAACCAGUCGGCGUGACGGGCGACGAUCGAGUCACCGUCACAAGUACCGCGAUACCUCGAACAGCGAGGAUGAAUGGUUCAGCGUCUAAACACCCGGGGUCUCCCGCGAGCUGGUCGGAAUAGAUAGAGGACGGUCCCGCCGCCGAACGAGAGGUAAAGCCGCCUGCUCUGAUCGCCGGUGGUCCGCCUAACGAAGCAAGACAAGAAAACGAGAGAUGAACUUGAAGGUAUUAGAGGUUCCUGAUAUCAAAAGGUUGUGUGUGAUGGAUCAUCCCAUGACCCGACCCAUACAAGUGUAUACUCGGAGGGCCAAGAGUAGCAAGGCAAGAGUCCAUGGUCAAGAGGUCAACAUUAACAAAAAGGGCCAAGAAAUCAGCAGCAACAACAAAGAACAAGAGGACAAAACCCAUUAAGAAGCAACUAAGGAAAAUAAGCAACAAAGCUCCUAUUAUGUCUAAUAUGGUUUUGCCAUUUUAGUUAAUAUUCACAUGUAUCAACCUAAAAAUGGUUAAGUAUUAAACCUUGUAUGGGCUGUUUUGUUUUUGCUGUUUGCUGCGCUGGGUGUUUUUCUCUAUGUUGCUAUACUGUAGUCUGUCUGAUGCUUGGAUGGACUACGGGUGUGCUCUGUUUGAAGCUUGCAGGCCUGGAGCUGCAAGGUCUUCUGCUGCUGUUGCUGUUGCUUUUGCUCAUACGUAGAUUUUUUAUGGUCAUAUGGAACUAUGUAUAUCGUAAGACGUACUACUAUUUUAUUUUAUUUUAGAUGAAAAGUGUAAAUAUUUCCAAGUUAUUAAUGAAAAUAAAUAAGGUUUCAUA